rnacentral:tRNA from 1 species
GGGGAUGUGCUCAAGCGGGUAGCACACUCGUGUGGCAUGCGAGAGGCACUGGGUUCAAUCCUCAGCACCCCA